rnacentral:rRNA from 1 species
AGUGAACGCUGGCGGUAUGCCUAACACAUGCAAGUCGAACGGCAGCACAGUAAGAGCUUGCUCUUACGGGUGGCGAGUGGCGGACGGGUGACGAAUACAUCGGAAUCUACUUUUUCGGGGGGGAUAACGUAGGGAAACUUACGCUAAUACCGCAUACGACCUACGGGUGAAAGCAGUGGAUCUUCGCACCUUGCGCGAUUGAAUUAGCCGAUGUCGGAUUAGCUAGUUGGGGGGGUAAAGGCCCACCAAGGCGACGAUCCGUAGCUGGUCUGAGAGGAUGAUCGGCCACACUGGAACUGAGACACGGUCCAGACUCCUACGGGAGGCAGCAGUGGGGAAUAUUGGGCAAUGGGCGCAAGCCUGAUCCAGCCAUACCGCGUGGGUGAAGAAGGCCUUCGGGUCGUAAAGCCCUUUUGUUGGGAAAGAAAAGCAGCAGGUUAAUACCCCGCUGUUCUGACGGUACCCAAAGAAUAAGCACCGGCUAACUUCGUG